AGUGAACGCUGGCGGUAUGCCUAACACAUGCAAGUCGAACGGCAGCACAGUAAGAGCUUGCUCUUACGGGUGGCGAGUGGCGGACGGGUGAGGAAUACAUCGGAAUCUACUUUUUCGUGGGGGAUAACGUAGGGAAACUUACGCUAAUACCGCAUACGACCUACGGGUGAAAGCAGGGGAUCUUCGGACCUUGCGCGAUUGAAUGAGCUGAUGUCGGAUUAGCUAGUUGGCGGGGUAAAGGCCCACCAAGGCGACGAUCCGUAGCUGGUCUGAGAGGAUGAUCGGCCACACUGGAACUGAGACACGGUCCAGACUCCUACGGGAGGCAGCAGUGGGGAAUAUUGGACAAUGGGCGCAAGCCUGAUCCAGCCAUACCGCGUGAGUGAAGAAGGCCUUCGGGUUGUAAAGCCCUUUUAUUGGGAAAGAAAAGCAGCAGGUUAAUACCCCGCUGUUCUGACGGUACCCAAAGAAUAAGCCCCGGCUAACUUCGUG
rnacentral:rRNA from 1 species